UACCUCCACAAUUGUAUGUCGCUUUGGACAAAAGCGCCUGCUAAAUGACUAAAU
rfam:Danio rerio chromosome 6, GRCz11 reference primary assembly.